rnacentral:rRNA from 1 species
AUUGAACGCUGGCGGCAUGCCUUACACAUGCAAGUCGAACGGCAGCACGGGAGCAAUCCUGGUGGCGAGUGGCGAACGGGUGAGUAAUGUAUCGGAACGUGCCCAGUCGUGGGGGAUAACGUAGCGAAAGCUACGCUAAUACCGCAUACGAUCUAUGGAUGAAAGCGGGGGAUCGCAAGACCUCGCGCGAUUGGAGCGGCCGAUAUCAGAUUAGGUAGUUGGUGGGGUAAAGGCUCACCAAGCCGACGAUCUGUAGCUGGUCUGAGAGGACGACCAGCCACACUGGGACUGAGACACGGCCCAGACUCCUACGGGAGGCAGCGGUGGGGAAUUUUGGACAGUGGGCGCAAGCCUGAUCCAGCAAUGCCGCGUGCAGGAUGAAGGCCUUCGGGUUGUAAACUGCUUUUGUACGGAACGAAACGGUGAGCUCUAAUACAGUUUGCUAAUGACGGUACCGUAAGAAUAAGCACCGGCUAACUACGUGCCAGCCGCCGCCGUAA